UGUGGCUCAGUGGUAGAGUGCUUGCCUUGCAUGCAUGAGGUCCUGGGUUCAAUUCCUCAGCA
rnacentral:tRNA from 1 species